AACCUAGUGGUUAAAGUAUUCGCCCUUCGCGCGGAAAAACUGGGGUCGAUUCCCCCACAUGGGUACUAUGUGCGAAGCCCAUGUCUAGUGUUCCCCGCCCAGAUAUUGCUGGAAUAUUGCUAAGAACCAGUAAAACCCAACUCACCCAACCCAACUGAACAGCAUAUUUUGUGUUUCAGCCUCGAGCGACCGGAGCCACGGAGAAAGGGCUGCACAGAUGACGACAGUGACGACCCAUGCCUCGAGCGACCCGAGUCGGACCGCGAGGACACCAGUGACGACCACAAAAAAGCCUGCUACACAGGCGACUCCAUCACCAGCAGACUGCGAGGACCUCCAUGACGCUAGCAGGGACGGGGACCUGGAGGAGGUGAAGCGGCUCAUGUCUCGGGGCGUGGACGUCAAUUGUAGGUGG